AUAAAAGACACAUCUGAGAUAAUAGCUUCCACUUCUCCGAUUCAACAUGCAAGGGCUCCUCCUUUGUUGCCUUGUGGCGCUGGCCGCAAGCCAAAGUGUCCAUUUUGAGCUUGGUCUAAACCCGAAGAAAACGUACGAGUAUACAUAUGAAGGAGUGGUACACUUUGGACUCGGCCAGCCAAACAUUGCUGAGUCUGGCGCCAGAAUGAUGUGCAAGAUCAAGAUUGUUG